AUUGAACGCUGGCGGCAGGCCUAACACAUGCAAGUCGAGCGGGGUUUUCGGACCUAGCGGCGGACGGGUGAGUAAUGCGUAGGAAGCUACCCGAUAGAGGGGGAUACCAGUUGGAAACGACUGUUAAUACCGCAUAAUGUCUACGGACCAAAGUGUGGGACCUUCGGGCCACAUGCUAUCGGAUGCGCCUACGUGGGAUUAGCUAGUUGGUGAGGUAAUGGCGCACCAAGGCGACGAUCCCUAGCUGGUUUGAGAGGAUGAUCAGCCACACUGGAACUGAGACACGGUCCAGACUCCUACGGGAGGCAGCAGUGGGGAAUAUUGGACAGUGGGCGAAAGCCUGAUCCAGCCAUGCCGCGUGUGUGAAGAAGGCCUUCGGGUUGUAAAGCACUUUCAGUAGGGAGGAAGAGUUGAGUGUUAAUAGUACUCAGCUUUGACGUUACCUACAGAAGAAGCACCGGCUAACUCUGUGCCAGCCGCCGCAGUAACAC
rnacentral:rRNA from 1 species